rnacentral:rRNA from 1 species
GCUGGCGGCAUGCUUAACACAUGCAAGUCGAACGGUAACAGGACGCUGUGAUCCCUUCGGGGUGAACUUGUCGCUGACGAGUGGCGGACGGGUGAGUAAUGCUUAGGAAUCUGCCCAGUAGUGGGGGACAACACGGGGAAACUCGUGCUAAUACCGCAUACGCCUUACGAGGGAAAGUGGAGGAUCUUCGGACUUCACGCUAUUGGAUGAGCCUAAGUCGGAUUAGCUUGUUGGUGGGGUAAUGGCCUACCAAGGCGACGAUCCGUAGCUGGUCUGAGAGGACGAUCAGCCACACUGGGACUGAGACACGGCCCAGACUCCUACGGGAGGCAGCAGUGGGGAAUAUUGGACAAUGGGGGCAACCCUGAUCCAGCAAUGCCGCGUGUGUGAAGAAGGCCUGCGGGUUGUAAAGCACUUUCAGUAGAGAAGAAAAGCCUGAGGUUAAUACCCUCAAGUCUUGACGUAACCUACAGAAGAAGCACCGGCUAACUCCGUG